UCAAUUUGAUGAUCAAAGACAUUUGUCAAUCCAUUGAAAAUUAUUAAUGUUAUUUCAUAUCCCAAUAGGUUUUGAUUGA